rnacentral:rRNA from 1 species
CCCUUAGAUGUUCUGGGCCGCACGCGCGCUACACUGAUGCAUUCAACGAGCCUAUCCUUGACCGGCAGGUCCGGGUAAUCUUUGAAUCUGCAUCGUGACGGGGAUAGAUUAUUGCAAUUAUUAAUCUUCAACGAGGAAUGCCUAGUAGGCGCAAGUCAUCAGCUUGCGUCGAUUACGUCCCUGCCCUUUGUACACACCGCCCGUCGCUCCUACCGAUUGGGUGUGCUGGUGAAAUGUUCGGAUCGGCCGUUUGUCGCGGUUUCCGCGGCUCGUGGCUGAGAAGUUCAUUAAACCCUCCCACCUAGAGGAAGGAGAAGUCGUAACA